AACGCAGUCACCAUUCGGAGCCU
rnacentral:siRNA from 1 species